GGAUAUUGGACACUGUGCGAAAGCCUGUUCCAGCAAUACCGCGUGCAGGAGGAAGGCGCUCGGGUGUUGAACAGUUUUUGUCCGAGACGAAAAGCUUUCGGUUAAUACCCAGGAGUCAUGACCGUAUCGUAACAAGACGCACACCAUCACUACGUGCAGGGAGCCGCCGUAAUACGUAGGGUGCAAGCGUUAAUCGGAAUUACUGGGCGUAAAGCGUGCGCAGGCGGUUUUGUAAGACAGAUGUGAAAUCCCCGGGCUCAACCUGGGAACUGCCUUUGGGACUGCAAGGCUAGAGUACGGCAGAGGGGGGUGGAAUUCCUCGUGUAGCAGUGAAAUGCGUAGAUAUACGGAGGAACACCGAUGGCGAAGGCAACCCCCUGGGCCUGUACUGACGCUCAUGCACGAAAGCGUGGGGAGCAAACA
rnacentral:rRNA from 1 species